AGUUACUGGGCGCAGCAGUUAAAGCACUCGACUGCUAACCGAAAGGUCGGUGGUUCGAAACCACCAGCAGCUC
rnacentral:tRNA from 1 species